rnacentral:lncRNA from 1 species
GGCCACCACGUCCCCAUGGCCACCAUGACCCCAAGGCCACCACAUCCCCAAGGCCACCACGUCCCUUGUCCCCGAGCCCGGUCACGUGGCACACACAGGUUUGGGGGGAAGCGCCUUUAUUCCAUGCAUCAGAGGGGGACAAGGGACGGGGGUGGGGGGUGGGGACAUCCCAAAGAGGACAGGGACGGGACAGGGAGGUUUGGGGACACCUGGGGAAGUUGGGGACAUCCCAAGGGGGACAACAACGGGAUGAAGAGGUUUGGGGUCACCCCAAGAAGGAAGGGAUGAGAUUUGGGGUCAUCCCGAGGAGCAGAAGAACGGGACGAGGAGGUUUGGGGUCACCACAAGAAGGACAGGAUGAGAUUUGGGGUCACCCCAAGAAGGACGGGAUGAGAUUUGGGGUCACCCCAAGAAGGACGGGAUGAGAUUUGGGGUCACCCCAAGAAGGACAGGAUGAGAUUUGGGGUCAUCUCUUGGAGGAGAAGGAUGGGAUGAAGAGGUUUGGGGUCAUCCCAAUGUGGGUGGGAUGAGAUUUGGGGUCAUCCCAUGGAGGAGAAGGACGGGAUGAGGAGGUUUGGGGUCACCCCAAGGGGGACAAGAAUGGGAUGAAGAGGUUUGGGGUCAUCGCAAGAAGGAAGGGAUGAGAUUUAGGGUCAUCCCAAGGAGAAGAAGGAUGGGAUGAAGAGGUUUGGGGUCACCUGGGGAGGUUGGGGACAUCCCAAGGGGGACAACAGCAGGACAAAGAGGUGUGGGGUCACCCCAAAAAGGAUGGGGUGGGGAGAUUUGGGGUCAUCCCGAGGAGAAGAAGGAUGGGAGAAAGAGUUGUGGGGUCAUCCCAAGGUGGAUGGGAUGAGAUUUGGGGUCAUGCCAUGGGGGAGAAGGAUGGGACGAAGAGGUUUGGGGUCACCCCAAGAAGGACGGGAUGAGAUUUGGGGUCAUCCCAUGGAGGAGAAGUUUGGGAUGAGAUUUGGGGUCAUCCCACGGCGGAGAAGGACGGGACGAGGAGAUUUGGGGUCACCCCAAGAAGGACGGGAUGAGGAGGUUUGGGGUCACCCCAAGAAGGACGGGACGAGAUUUGGGGUCACCCCAAGAAGGAUGGGACGAGGAGAUUUGGGGUCACCCCAAGAAGGACAGGAUGAGAUUUGGGGUCAUCCCAUGGCGGAGAAGGACGGGAUGAAGACAUUUGGGGUCACCCCAAGAAGGACGGGAUGAGAUUUGGGGUCAUCCCAUGGCGGAAAAGGGCGGGCUGAGAUUUGGGGUCACCCCAAGAAGGAUGGGAUGAGAUUUGGGGUCAUCCCAUGGCGGAGA